CAAUACGUCACAGUUUCAUCUAGAAAUACAGAAGAAAAAGGCCAACUCUUAUCAGUCGAGACAGGAGAUCGAAUCCAGACUUACAUUAGGGUUUGGUCCAUUCAGAGAAGCAUCUUGAAGGGGGACCUAUCUCUUCUGCCAUAUUUUCCGAGGUUAUAAGAGAUUUAGCCAGCAAUUAGCAAUGGAGGAUGUGAAACAUAAAUCUAGAAAGGAAGAUUCAGAAAGGAAGGAGGAGGAUUCGAAGAGGAGCCACCGUGAUCGUGAUAAGGAGAGAAAUGGAGAGAGGCAUCGGGACAGAGAUAAAAGCCGACGUUCUGAGAGAGAGAAGAGUGUUGAGUCUGAAGACAAAUAUGAGAGAGAGCGAGACAAGCAUAGAAGGAGCCGAGAUGAUGAAAGAGAAAGACCCAAGGAUAGGAAGAGAGAUAGAGAUAGGGACAGAGACAGUGAGAGGGAAGAGAAAAGAGAUAGGGCGAGAGAGAAAGAGAGAGAGAAGAGGGAACGUGAUAGAGAAGAACGGGAGCGGGAGAGAGAUAGAGAGAGGGAGAGAAGGGAACGUGACAGAGAAGAGCGAGAGAGGGAAAGGGAGAGGGAGAGGGAGAGGGAGAGGAGGGAAAGGGAAAGGGAAAAGGAAAAGGAAAAGGAAAAGGAAAAGGAAAAGGAAAGAGAAAGAGAAAGGGAAAAGGAAAGAGAAAGAGAGAGGAGGACAAGAGAAAAGGAGAAGCGCAGAGAAGUUACCAGUGAUAACGAUAGUGGUGAUGAAUCCAGGGAGCAUGAUAGGAAGCGUCGGAAGAGAGAUGAUAAUGAAUAUGGGGAGAGAUCACGUGAGCAGGGUACUGGCAGCAGGUCAAACAGGCACAGGGAUGAUAGUGAAGGGAGCCCAAGAAAAAGGAUUGUUGAAGACGACACAGAUAAGAAAGAGAAAAAGACUAGAGAGGAUGAAUUAGAGGAUGAACAGAAGAGAUUAGAUGAAGAAAUGGAGAAGAGGAGAAGAAGAGUUCAGGAGUGGCAAGAGUUGAGGAGGAAAAAGGAAGAAUCCGAAAGAGACAAGCAUGGGGAAGUAGCUAAUGUAGACAAACCCAAUACAGGUAAAACUUGGACCCUUGAAGGAGAUUCUGAUGAUGAUGAAGCUCCUCCCACAGAGACAUCAGAAGCGGACAUGGAACUAGAUGAAAAUUCAAAGCCUAACAAAGACGCUGGAGAUGCAAUGGUGAUAGACUUUAAAAAUGGGACAGCUGCUUUAGAGAAUGGCGGUGAUGAUGUUAUUGGGGAUGAGGAAAUUGAUCCAUUAGAUGCUUUCAUGAAUUCCAUGGUCUUACCUGAAGUUGAGAAGCUAAACAAUGCAGUAAUUACUCAAAAUGUUGAUGAUAAUAAAGUGGAGUUAAAGAAGGACAAAAAAGAGGAAGGAAGCAAUAGAGAGCAGCUGAAGAGAGGCUUUAAUAAAUCUCUUGGGAGAAUAAUUCCCGGUGAUGAUUCUGAUUCAGAUUAUGGGGACCUUGAGAAUGAUGAAAAUCCUUUAGAUGAUGAGGACGAUGAUGAGUUCAUGAAAAGGGUGAAGAAGACAAAAGCGGAGAAGCUAUCUGUUGUUGAUCACUCAAAGAUUGAUUAUAAACCUUUCCGGAAAAAUUUCUAUAUUGAAGUGAAGGAGGCAUCGAGGAUGACUUCAGAAGAGGUUGCUACUUUUAGGAAACAAUUAGAACUGAAAAUACAUGGAAAGGAUGUUCCAAAACCAGUUAAAACAUGGCAUCAAACUGGCCUUACAAGUAAAAUUUUGGAGACAAUAAAGAGACUGAACUAUGAGAAGCCAAUGCCGAUUCAAGCUCAAGCACUGCCAAUAAUUAUGAGUGGCAGAGAUUGCAUAGGCAUUGCAAAAACUGGCUCUGGCAAAACCCUCGCAUUUGUGCUGCCAAUGCUGAGGCAUAUCAAGGACCAGCCACCUGUGGAAGCUGGAGAUGGACCAAUUGGGCUUAUAAUGGCUCCUACAAGGGAGCUCGUUCAACAGAUACACAGUGAUAUAAGGAAGUUCUCCAAGGUACUGGGAAUUAGAUGUGUUCCCGUAUAUGGAGGCUCUGGUGUUGCCCAACAGAUCAGUGAGUUAAAGCGGGGUACUGAGAUUGUUGUCUGCACCCCAGGUAGGAUGAUUGAUAUACUUUGCACAAGUGGUGGUAAAAUUACAAAUCUGCGUAGAGUCACUUAUCUAGUAAUGGAUGAAGCAGAUAGGAUGUUUGAUAUGGGGUUUGAACCUCAAAUCACUAGAAUUGUCCAGAAUAUUCGGCCAGAUCGUCAGACUGUUCUCUUUUCUGCUACUUUUCCUCGGCAGGUUGAGAUUUUGGCUCGAAAAGUAUUGAACAAACCUGUGGAAGUCCAGGUUGGUGGGAGGAGUGUAGUUAACAAGGACAUAACACAGCUAGUUGAGGUGAGACCAGAAAGUGACAGGUUUUUGAGACUUCUGGAACUACUUGGUGAAUGGUAUGAGAAGGGAAAAAUUCUGAUAUUCGUCCAAUCACAGGAUAAAUGUGAUGCUUUGUUUAGGGAUUUGCUGAAGCAUGGUUAUCCUUGCCUUUCACUUCAUGGGGCCAAGGAUCAAACAGACCGUGAGUCCACCAUUUCUGACUUCAAAAGUAAUGUCUGUAAUUUGUUGAUUGCUACAAGUGUUGCAGCCAGAGGCUUAGAUGUGAAGGAGCUUGAACUGGUGAUCAAUUUUGAUGUUCCAAACCACUAUGAGGAUUAUGUUCACCGUGUUGGUCGAACAGGCCGAGCUGGUCGCAAGGGCUGUGCCAUCACAUUUAUUUCCGAGGAGGAUGCAAGAUAUGCACCAGAUCUUGUAAAAGCGUUGCAACUCUCUGAGCAAGUUGUUCCUGAUGACCUGAAAGCUCUUGCUGAUGGCUUUAUGGCAAAAGUGAACCAGGGGCUUGAACAAGCCCAUGGAACUGGUUAUGGUGGAACUGGUUUUAAAUUCAAUGAAGAGGAGGAUGAAAAGAGAAUAGCAGCGAAAAAAGCUCAAGCUAAAGAAUAUGGCUUUGAGGAAGACAAGUCAGAUUCGGAAGAUGAAGAUGAAGGGGUUCGAAAGGCAGGUGGUGACAUCUCACGCCAGGCUGCCUUUGCUCAGCACUUGGUUGCUAUUGCUGCUGCCUCCAAAGGCACUACAUCUUCAAUACCAACUGCUAUCUCAGCUGCUCAAUUGCUUCCCCAUGGUGGAUUACCUGUUUCUCUGCCAGGUGUCAUGGGCCUAACACUUCCAGGUGCAGCUACAGUUCUGCCUGGGGCUGGACUACCUGUUGUUAGUAACGAUAACACAGUUAAGGCAAUUACGGCAGCUUACAACUUGCAGCAGAACCUUGCAAAGAUCCAAGCUGAUGCAAUGCCAGAGCAUUAUGAAGCAGAGCUGGAGAUCAAUGAUUUCCCCCAAAAUGCUCGGUGGAAGGUUACUCACAAGGAUACGUUGGUUCCAAUUUCUGAAUUUUUUGGUGCUGCAAUUACUACUAGGGGACAGUAUUUUCCACCAGGCCGGAUUCCAGGACCAGGAGAACGCAAGCUUUACUUGUUCAUUGAGGGCCCUAGUGAAACCUCUGUUAAAAAAGCUAAAACAGAACUAAAACGUGUUUUGGAAGACAUCACAAACCAGGCAUUAUCACUUCCUGGUGGAGCUCAACCAGGGAGAUACUCAGUUUUAUAAGUGUAAGUUAUAUAACUCGAUUAUGGUAUCAUUAUUUCUAUGUUGGACAUGAACUGAAGCUCUUCUUAAUUAAUAUUUUUUCUCUUCACAUGUUUGGGAUGCUUGUAGACAAUUUGGUUUGAUAACCUCUCUUUUAAAUGAUAUAGGAUUAGGAAAAUAAUGAAAUGGCUUACUUUGUUUCAGGAAUGGCAGCUUGUAAGAUUGUACUCUACUUUUUUCUGCAUUAUUUUGUUCCUGGAACAUUACUUGAGAUAGAACUUACCUACAAUAAGCCUAUAGCUAAUUUUUGUCCACUUGUUUCCCCCUUUAAUUAGUAUUUGUCAUGGUGCAAACCCCACAAACAGCUUAUUAGCAAAUGUGAUGAGAAGAUCUUGUACAUCUGACUCCUCUGUAGUACCACUAAGGGUGUGUGUAUAUGCAUGUUAGAUAUUCAUCUCUUUUUCUCUCAUUGUUUUGUACAUCAUGUGGCUUCUUAAGCUAGUUGUGCAGAUGUUAAAUUUGUUGUCAAUUUCCAUGUGUCUCUUCCCCUUUUAAUUUCUUCCUUUUUUUCCUUUUCUUUUCUGGGUUUAUCCUUUUCCUAUGGAUCGAGGGAUGAUUUAAGCCUAUGCCCACAUGUCCAAAAUAGUUUCUGCUCAUUGCCUUUGCCCCGUGGCUGUUGAACAGAUGGAUCCGGUGAGUGUGGAAAAAGUUCCAAAAGAUACAUUUUGUCCUGUAGAAGUCUCUUGGGGUUGCAUCUUCAACCAUUUAUUGAACUUGAGCAGGAUGACAGUGACAUAGGUGCCAUUUGUUGGUUUGAGGGAUGUCCUCGUAAUUAUAUUCAGCUGGCUAAAUACCAAGCCUAUGGUAUAUUGUGGUCCUGUUCUCCACUAUAUUGGCACAUGUCUGGAUGCUUUUGAUUGUGUUCUAUUUGUUCUUCUUCUGUCAGAUUUACUUCAAUAAUAUAAUAAUAGGUAUAACUAUUUUUGGAUUGGAUGUCUAGUAAUGCUAUUAAACUUUUAUCUUAUCAUUGUUUGAUUCUCUGAGAGUUGAAACAUUGUUAUGUGCGUGCCAUUAGUUUGUCUUAUAAUGCAGUCAUCGUAAUUUAAACCCUGACAUGACUGGUAUUCAAUUUUCGUAGGGAAUCUAUAGUAUACAUGGAAGGAAGUGAAUAGUAGGUGAUUCUCCUUUUUUUUUACAUGCCUAGAAUCUAUAAUAUAUAUGAAAGGAAGUGACUUCUUGCACCUUUUUGUCAUGCAUGUCUAGAAUUUGACUCCUAGAUAGGCACAAUUGGCAAUUGGGUAAUUAUUUGAUGAUCUGGGAGAAAUCGAAUCCUUGGAAUUUUGGAAAAGUAGGGAAUUGAAGAUCAGGGUUUUGAGACAGAAGCUCUCUUCAUCUUAUUCUUCCUCAUCUUUCUUUUAUGGUUAUCCACAGGCAAUCAGAGCCAUGACCAAGAAGAAUAACAAUGGUAAUAUCCUCCAAUUUAUUUCCUCUUUCCUUUCCAUACAUUCCCUCUGUUCCAUUUCUCUGGAAUUUCAAAUUCCAUGUUUUUUAUGGUUUGUGUAGUAUUCUGCUUUAUCUGGGGGAUUUGAAUAAUGUUCUUGAGAUUUAGAGUUAUGUUGGACUUAUUUUACCAAUUAAGGAAUUAGUCGUGAAAUUGGUCGUCGAGAAGCAACAUCAACUUGAUAUAUGACUUUCUUCCUCUCUGUGUCUGUGUGUGUUCCAUCUGUUUAAUAGAUUUAGAUGUACAGUUGUUCCUACACGUGCAUGUUCAUUGUUUACUAGCCUACUACAAGGCUGAUGUUUGAAUAUUUUUGUAUUGCAGUUUUGCAAGGGAAUGCACUUGCUGACCUGGUCAGUAUGAGUUCUCAGUACAGCUAUACUGAUUUAUAAUAGCCCUCGUGUUUGGAUACUGAAUUUGCCAUUUGUAUGUUUUCAUUCAAUCUGCUGUUAAUUGUUUUGAAUGAACUCACUUUACUCACUUUACUUUGUUAUGUCUUGUCAAUAUUUAGUGCAGCACUGUGCGCGCUUCUAGCCUAAUUGAAAUGCCUCUAUCAGUUGAAAUUUUAUUUUAUUUUAAUUUUUGGAUUAAAUUCUUCUUAAAGAACAGAGACAGCAAGGACAGAUUGCAGCACUGAAGAAGAUCAUAGGUUGAUCUUAAGAGAUGCAUCAUAUUUAUUGCUAUUGCUAUUGCUAAUGCCAUUGCCUUUGAUGAUGUUGAUGAAAUGACAAGUGAUCUUAGCAGAUUUAUUAGUGAGUAUGCACAACUCGGCAAAACCUGAUAAUUUCAGGUUUCGUGUUCUUGAGGAAAUGAUGUUGAUAGUCGGAAGUUGCGGAAAGGCAAAGGAUCUAAGAGGUUGCCAACCUUAAUAUUGAUUUCUUGUUGUCUAGAUUUUGAUUUGUUGUUGCUUUCGACUUCAUGUCUUGGAGUAAGGUUGAUGAAAAUAGUUUAUCAUUGUGAGAGAAAAGGAGGCGUAAAUGGGACGGGAGGAAAUUGAGAAGAUGGAGAGAGAACUUGGUGGAGAAGUGAAGAUUGAGAAAAUUUAAACUAUUAUUUCUUUUUU